rnacentral:lncRNA from 1 species
GAAAGAAAAUUUCAUCUCUAUUCAUAAAUCGAAAAAUUCCUAUUUUCUGUUAUGUGUCAAGCACUGGUAGGCAUGAAAUGAUGAAAAGUAAGAAUUUGAUGCUACAGAAAAUAUGAACAACAAAUUAGUAUUUUACUAGCCAGACAAAAUGAAAUCUAAUGGUGUGUCCACAAAAAAUUUCUCUCGUGAUUCUUUAAGAAGUGGAUGGUUAGAUAAAUGCUUUACUUUAGCACAAGAUUUAUUUUUGUUCUUCUUUUUAGGGCGGUGUGCUUUUACUCCUAACAUGGACAUCAUUCUAAGUUUGGCCCAACCAAUAAUGUUUUUGUACUAAAGAAUAUUCUAUUCUAAUGGCCAAUUAAGUCUUGGCAGAUAUGUUUGAUACUAUUAUAUUAAGAAUCCUUAAGAUUUAAGAGGCCCCUUUUUACAACAUUGUUCAACAUUACUUUCUCUUCUAAUCAUCAUUCCUUGGUCCAAAUA